rnacentral:ncRNA from 1 species
UAUGAAUUUAAUUUCUGUUUAAUAAUUAGUUUUGUAAUUAUAAUAUAGAUAAAAAUUAAUUUUAAAUAAUAUGUUAAGAGAUUAAUAUUUUAAUUAAUUUAUUCAUAUGAAAGUAUGGAUAGUAAUUUAUUUUUAUGUUAAAUUAAAUUAGUGCCAGCAGUUGCGGUUAGACUAAUUUAUUUAAAUUAAUUAUUGAUUAAUUUUAUAAUGAUUAAGGUUUUAUAUAUAAUAAGUUUAAUUAAAAUUUAAUAAUAUUUAGUGAAAUAUUUAUUUUAGGAUAAUUUAGGCUUUAAAAUUUUUAUGAGGAAGUUUAAUUAGUGACUAGGAUUAGAUACCCUAUUAUUUUAAUUAUUAGUUUAUUGAAUUAAGAGAUUAAAUGUUUAAAUCAUUAAAUUUUAGAAAUUUGGCGGUAUUUUUAUAGUUAGAGGAACUUGUCAAGUAAUUGAUAAUCCACGAUAAGAUUAACUUAAUUUUGUUUUACGUAUUGUUGUUUAUUUAAGAGUAAAUUAAUAGAUUUUAUUCAAGAAAUAUUUAGAUCUUAUAGUAAUUCAAAUCAAAGUGUAGAUUAGUUGAGAUUAGGUGAGUUACAUUAGUAUUAUUAGACGUUUGGAUUAAUUGAUUUAAUUUUAAUUAUGAAAUAGGAUUUAAUUGUAAAAUAAUAUAAUAAUUUUGUUUGAAUUUAAUUAGGAAUAUGUACAAAUUGCCCGUCAUUCUUGUCUAUAAGAUGAGAGAAGUCGUAACAUAGUAAUGGUACUGGAAAGUGUCGUUAGAUUAUA